rnacentral:rRNA from 1 species
GAUGAACGCUGGCGGCGUGCCUAAUACAUGCAAGUCGAGCGAACGGACGAGAAGCUUGCUUUUCUGAUGUUAGCGGCGGACGGGUGAGUAACACGUGGAUAACCUACCUAUAAGACUGGGAUAACUUCGGGAAACCGGAGCUAAUACCGGAUAAUAUUUUGAACCGCAUGGUUCAAAAGUGAAAGACGGUCUUGCUGUCACUUAUAGAUGGAUCCGCGCUGCAUUAGCUAGUUGGUAAGGUAACGGCUUACCAAGGCAACGAUGCAUAGCCGAACUGAGAGGCGGAUCGGCCACCCUGAACCUGAACCAGGGUCCGGACUCCUACGGGAGGCAGAAGUAGGAAAUCUUCCGCAAUGGGCGAAAGCCUGACGGAGCAACGCCGCGUGAGUGAUGAAGGUCUUCGGAUCGUAAAACUCUGUUAUUAGGGAAGAACAUAUGUGUAAGUAACUGUGCACAUCUUGACGGUACCUAAUCAGAAAGCCACGGCUAACUACGUG